rnacentral:rRNA from 1 species
GAUGAACGCUGGCGGCGUGCUUAACACAUGCAAGUCGAACGAAGCACUCUAUUUGAUUUCUUCGGAAUGAUUAUUUUGUGACUGAGUGGCGGACGGGUGAGUAACGCGUGGGUAACCUGCCUCAUACAGGGGGAUAACAGUUGGAAACGACUGCUAAUACCGCAUAAGCGCACAGGACCGCAUGGUCUGGUGUGAAAAACUCCGGUGGUAUGAGAUGGACCCGCGUCUGAUUAGCUAGUUGGUGGGUAACGGCCUACCAAGGCGACGAUCAGUAGCCGACCUGAGAGGUGACCGGCCACAUUGGGACUGAGCACGGCCCAAACUCCUACGGGAGCAGCAGUGGGGAAUAUUGCACAAUGGGGGAAACCCUGAUGCAGCAACGCCG